rnacentral:misc_RNA from 1 species
UUAAGUUCAGCGGGUAGUCCUACCUGAUUUGAGGUCAAACGACAUAUAUAUGCUUUUGUCUUUCGACAGUUAGAAGCAACCUGGAUCAAUCCCAACAAUGCUUUUUCUUAUCACAUUGCGUGUGAUCAUAGGCAGAUCGCUAAUGCAUUUAGGAUGAGUUGUGAUCUCCACAACAACACCCAAAUCCAAUUCCAAUCAAA